rnacentral:tRNA from 1 species
GCUUCUAAAGGAUAAUAGUCCAUCCGUUGUCUAGGAACCAAAAACUCUUGGUGCAACUCCAAGUAGCAGCU